CAAAUUCGAAGGAACAGAGACCAACCGUUACUCACCUGUGCCUAUUACCCCAGGUCUUCCCCCCCCUGUGGAGGUUCCGGGGCGACCACAAUUAGGGAGCAUGUUCAAGCCAGAUGGGCCGGUUAUACGAUUGGGACGCCCAAUAUCCCGAGCCGAAAUCUGGCUGAUGCAGCCUCCUGCGGGAAUACCACAAUGUGUUCGGGAUGUAGGUAGUGGUCCUCCUAGCGGCAGUCAAUCCGAUGGAGACGGGGCGUCGGUUCGCCCCGAACCGACAGCACACCGACAGGAAAUCGCACAUCAGGCCGCCCAAAUCAUUAACCGGGCCAUCCACCGAGUGAUCGUUGACUUUUGGGUGAGGUUACGUUCUUUUCUACUGCAUUAGGGCGACGACCUAAGAGCGGUUGGAACACAGUUGGACCUAUCAUCGGCGCUGUCAAAGCGGUUCAUGAGCCUCCGGAUUCGUCUGAGCCGUACGAGCUCGCUGAAGCUUGUUAACAUCCAUUUAUCCAUUCAUCCAUCCAUCCAAUUGGACCUUACCACCCCUUCUUACGAGUGUAGAGGACAAUUUGCAUUGCAUGGAUGCGCUCACAGAUGAAGGUGACCGGAAAUUCCAACAAUCGGAGGUGAUUUUCAGUCACAGCUUGGUAGGAUGGUGGUCCCGUGUGUAUUCGGCCGCACUUCUUCACAUCGAGGCAACCCUAGUACGCCCGUAUUUGUAGGCAUGAGUUUGCCACUCACAGGGGAGCCAUAUUGGCAAAAUCCCCUUGUUGG
rnacentral:lncRNA from 1 species